rnacentral:rRNA from 1 species
CUACGGGUCGCAGCAGUGAGGAAUUUUGCGCAAUGGGGGAAACCCUGACGCAGCAACGCCGCGUGAGUGAUGAAGGCCUUCGGGUCGUAAAGCUCUGUCAAGUGGGAAGAACCUACCCGGAAAUAAUAAGUUCGGGUACUGACGGUACCACUGAAGGAAGCACCGGCUAACUCCGUGCCAGCAGCCGCGGUAAUACGGGGGGUGCAAGCGUUAUUCGGAAUCAUUGGGCGUAAAGGGCACGCAGGCGGCCUUGUAAGUCAGAUGUGAAAGCCCGGGGCUUAACCCCGGAAGUGCAUUUGAUACUAUCAGGCUUGAGUAUGGGAGAGGGAAGUGGAAUUCCUGGUGUAGAGGUGAAAUUCGUAGAUAUCAGGAGGAACACCGGUGGCGAAGGCGACUUCCUGGACCAAUACUGACGCUGAGGUGCGAAGGCGUGGGGAGCAAACAGGAUUAGAUACCCUCGUAGUC